rnacentral:tRNA from 1 species
UGGGGAGUCGCCAAGCGGUAAGGCAGCAGGUUUUGGUCCUGCCAUGCGAGGGUUCGAAUCCUUCCUCCCCAGCCA